CUUGGCGGCUGGACGGGGCAGGCGCCUUCUGUGUGACCACUCCCCAUGUAAACCAGGCCUAAGGUCACGUCGCCUCGGGGUUACGCUCAUGGCCACGCCUUUGCUUUCCUCACCUUUUUGGGGACGGAAAGAAAUUAAGCGAACACAAGAUGGACGUGGCAGAGGCAGCGUCGAGUCCCUCUCUUCUCACCUGCCUCGUCAGCGUCCGUCCAGGACAGGUGAGCGCUCAUUAGCAUACGUCGUGACACAGGUAAGGAGGUAUACAAGAAGCAGCCUCCUAACACGCCCUUGAAAGCCAUAAAGGUAAUGGUUAGGUCGUGACGGGCCCUUCAC